CUAGCUGUAAACGAUGGAUACUAGGCGUUGAGAGUAUCGACCCUCUCAGUGUCGUAGCUAACGCGUUAAGUAUCCCGCCUGGGGAGUACGCGCGCAAGCGUGAAACUCAAAGGAAUUGACGGGGGCCCGCACAAGCGGUGGAGUGUGUGGUUUAAUUCGAUGCAACGCGAAGAACCUUACCAGGGCUUGACAUGUCCGGAACCCUGCCCAAAGGCGGGGGUGCCUACGGGAACCGGAACACAGGUGGUGC
rnacentral:rRNA from 1 species